rnacentral:ncRNA from 1 species
UUUUGCUAGGGGUGCCUCUGAUUUAUCAGAUGCUGAGAGGGAAUUUUCCUAACCCUUUGAACUUGAUGUGGUUAGUACCAACGCAGGGAAGCUGUUAAUAA